rnacentral:rRNA from 1 species
UGGGGAAUAUUGGACAAUGGGGGCAACCCUGAUCCAGCAAUGCCGCGUGUGUGAAGAAGGUCUUCGGAUUGUAAAGCACUUUCGACGGGGACGAUGAUGACGGUACCCGUAGAAGAAGCCCCGGCUAACUUCGUGCCAGCAGCCGCGGUAAUACGAAGGGGGCUAGCGUUGCUCGGAAUGACUGGGCGUAAAGGGCGUGUAGGCGGUUUACACAGUCAGAUGUGAAAUCCCCGGGCUUAACCUGGGAGCUGCAUUUGAUACGUGUAGACUAGAGUGUGAGAGAGGGUUGUGGAAUUCCCAGUGUAGAGGUGAAAUUCGUAGAUAUUGGGAAGAACACCGGUGGCGAAGGCGGCAACCUGGCUCAUGACUGACGCUGAGGCGCGAAAGCGUGGGGAGCAAACAGGAUUAGAU